rnacentral:rRNA from 1 species
AUUGACCGCUGGCGGCAGGCCUAACACAUGCAAGUCGAGCGAGCGGCGGACGGGUGAGUAAUGUCUGGGAAACUGCCUGAUGGAGGGGGAUAACUACUGGAAACGGUCGCUAAUACCGCAUACCAUCAGAUGUGCCCCGAUGGGAUUAGCUAGUGGGUGGGGUAAUGGCUCACCUAGGCGACGAUCCCUAGCUGGUCUGAGAGGAUGAACCGCCAAACUGGAACGGAGACACGGUCCAGACUCCUACGGGAGGCAUCAGUGGGGAAUAUUGCACAAUGGGCGCAAGCCUGACGCAGCCAUGCCGCGUGUAUGAAGAAGGCCUUCGGUUUGUAAAGUACUUUCGGCGGGGAGGCGUUACCCACAGAAGAAGCACCGGCUAACUCCGUGCCAGCAGCCGCGGUAAUUC